rnacentral:lncRNA from 1 species
AAUCUCGGCUCACUGCAACCUCUGCCUCCCAGGUUCAAGGGAUUUUCCUGCCUCCGCCCCUCGAGUAGCUGGGAUUACAGGCGUGCACCACCACACCCAGCUACUUUUUGUAUUUUUAGUAGAGACAGGGUUUCGCCAUGUUGGCCAGGAUGGUCUCAAUCUCUUGACCUUGUGAUCCCCCAACCUCGGCCUCCCAAAGUGCUGAGAUUACAGGCGUGAGCCACUGCGCAAUAUCUUGUUUCAUUUUACACUGGGGACCCUUGAAAGGUGCAUAGUUAAAUGUCAUUCUUUUACAAGUAAAUCAUUCACGGUUUGGUAAGACAUCUUAGAGCUUCUUAAACGUGAUUCACUGCCAAGACCUCUACAGUUGUUAAGAAGUAAAAGCAAAUGCAUAAUGAAAUGUAAUCACAUGUGAGUUUAUAAAAGUUCAGCAGGGGAGACUUGAGAAAUGGGAAAUGUGCCAAAGAGACAAAAACUUGUAGUUUUGUGAAAAACAGAUCAUGAGUUUGAGGAAUGCAGGCAGCCUCUAGAAGGCCAAGGAAAACAACGGAAGAAAAGGAAAUAGAUUCUCCCCCAGGGCCUCCAGGAGGACACAUCCCAGCUGACAUCUUUACAUUUUAGCACACCUAAAAUGAUUUUGGACUUCUGAACUCCAGACUAGAAGAUAUUAAUUUGUGAUGGAACAAACUAAUGCAUUGCAUAACAAUAUAUUCCCAUAAACCUCAAAAUACGAAUGGGUAGGAACUAGCCACCGCAGUCUUAAGAAUCUCUUGAUACAAGAGUUUGGGCUAGAAAAAAUGAGGAAAGAAACAUGUCGUAAUCUUUGGAUCCAAGAAGCCCACAUAUUGCUAACACAUACUGCAGAAAAAUCUAAGAACAUCAGCAGGAAUUAAACAGGAGUAUCACAGACUACAAUUUACAGUGAGUGUCUGGGGACUAUUGGAAAUCCUUAGGAAUGGAGCUCUUUCAGAAUCUAAAUAACUAACCUAAGCACCACUCAAGGGUAAAAGCUUGCACUAAAGAGAAACUGCUGAGAGUGAAAUCCAAACAGAACAAAACAGGGACAAUAAACUCAAUGACAAGGCUAGAUUCGGAUAAAAGUAGGAAGAUCUCAGAAAAUAAAAAUUUAUAUCCUUAUGACUUCGUGAAACUAAAAAAUUAGGAAUUGAAAAAUUUACAUAUUAUUCAGGUAAAUAUGAACACUGGCUGUUUAAUGAUACUAAGGGUUUAAAAGCCAUGCAUAUAUGUUUUAAAGGGGAUAUAAUAUUGCCUUUAAUAUAUGAUAUGUUAUCGAGACUUU